GGAAAAUACAGAAACAACUGGAGAACUUUCCAAAUAAUCAGAGAAUCUUACGCAAAAUAUAUAGACCGCGAGACGGUAGGAAGCAUAUAGAGCUUUUAAAGUACAAACUAUUUCACGGUAAAAGAGCUUUUACAGCUGCAACCACCAUCGGCAUUUGGAUUAUCCGUCACCACAAAGGCGGAACGUAUCAUCUCUUCAACAUAAU
rnacentral:misc_RNA from 1 species